rnacentral:rRNA from 1 species
UACGUAGGGGCCGAGCGUUGUCCGGAUUCAUUGGGCGUAAAGGGCGCGUAGGCGGCCACGCACGUCCGUUGUGAAAUCGCCCGGCUCAACUGGGCGGGGUCAGCGGAUACGGUGUGGCUCGAGCAAGCUAGGGGGCAAUGGAAUUCCCGGUGUAGUGGUGGAAUGCGUAGAUAUCGGGAGGAACACCAGUGGCGAAGGCGGUUGCCUGGAGCUUUGCUGACGCUGAGGCGCGAAAGCGUGGGGAGCGAUCCGG